UGACGCAUCAGAAUCAGUGAGAUGUUGGCUUUCUCACCAGACGGCAUGGACACAGUCGGGGCUGAAAGCCGACAGCUGUCAUGGUCCUGAGUCUGCCGUCUCAGUGUUUUAUGUUUCUUUAUGCUUUCGUUAUUCUGAUUAGGUAUUUCAUUAUUAUUCGCCAUUUUGUUAGGUUUCUGUUCUGUGCCUGUCCUGGUCCUCCUUCCAUGUUCCCCCCGUCUGUCCUUGAUGUCAUUAUGCCUGUUUAUGAGUCUGCGUCUGUGUCUCUGUCUGUCUAUGGUGUCACACUGUCUGUUUGUGAAUCUGUCUGUUUAGUUCAGUGUCUUGUCCAGUUCUGUGUCUGUGAGUUUCCUGUUUUAUUCUGAAGGUCUCUGUCUCAUGUGAGUGUGUUCUGUUUACGUUUCCCCUGUCCUGUUCCCCGACAGCCUGUUACAAUGGUACGGUUACUGUAAACAGAUGCAUGCUCAGCUGUACUGGCUGCUGCUGCACUCACACUAGGAGACUGUCCAAUUACUACAAUAAUAGGAUGUCACAUUUUAAGUGAUGCUAUGCCAUAAUAAGGGUUGUUACAAUGUGCCUGUACAGACCUUAAUUCAUGUAACUUUUAAAAGUUGGGCUUCAGACCUGAGAUCUGUAUCUUCUUAUUGUUAUUUAUAUUGUUUAUUGGUGGUUAGCAAAUAGCAAAAUGGUGCAUUACCGCCACCAACUGGUGUGGAGUUUUAGAGCUGGUACCUUUGAGUUCAUCUUCCAUGAUUUUUCUAGACUCUCACAACACCCAUCCCCCACCUUACCAUCUAGCUUAUGACAUAGUCCCUUCUGAUUGGCUGCUGUCAGGGGCGGCAAUUUUUUUUUUCUGGCCAACAUCUUCAGUCUUCAAAUUUCAUCACGCUGGCAGCUCACUUCGAGGUAAGAGUUAAAACUAGAUGUUAUUUGUGAUGAUUUCUGUUUAAGUCCUAUUUGAAUGCUUUAUUUUAGUCUGUGAUUAUUUGCUACAGUGCUGUUUUAGAGUGGGGUCUUAAAGCAUUGUUUUUCUUUCUGUUUUUUAAAAGUGUUAUUAAGUGUGAAAUUUGCGAGCUAGCGGUAGGAAUUAGAAGAAACUGUAGAUAAACUACAGCUGAAAGUCGUAAAAAUAAAGUUAUCCUUUUUGUAUUCCAUUGUAAGCGAAAAUCCACUUUGACCGUAUAAGACCCUUUACAGUAAAAACUCAAAUGAUGUUUUUUCUAACACAACUCCGAUAUCGUAAGAACCAUACUACUGUCUUUAAAUCUCUGCAGAAUGACAUAAGUAAAUUUGCCAUAAGUAAAACGUGUAAUUUAAAAUGACACAUGAAAGUUACUCAUUUAAACAGUAAAAAUUUCACAUAAAAAUACUUUGUUAUGCCAUGGAAGUAUCUCAUUUAAAAUAAAAACCAAGCAAACUUGUUUUGAGUGAAAAUCCCCAAACAUUAUCAAUGGCAACAAUAAUAAUAAUACAUAAUAAUAGCAAUUUGAUCAUCCUUUCCUUUACAGUUUGAUCCAGGCAGUGAACCACAGAAUGAUGUUUCAGCAAAAGAACUGCUGCAUCUCAUCUAUGCCACUGAGGACAAGAUAUUUCAACAUAACGUUUGGGCUAUGGCUUUUGAUCUUCAUGGGAAUAUUGUACUCCCUGACCAAAGACUCAGUCUGUGCUCUAGAAAUAACCUCACACAUAAAAAACUAUUAUGUGGCAAGAGAUUCCAGUGUUACCCUUAAUUGUGAGUUUGUCCUUGAAUCUGAAAACUUGGGAUAUACGGAAAUAGAGUGGAACAUUGUGCCUUCAGAUAGACAGCAGGAUGACGAGAUCAUUAUCUGGUAUACUGGAGGUGUGUUAUACAGUAAUCUAUAUGAGCCGUUAAAGAAUAGGGUCCACUUUGCCUCUCCUGAUCCCCAAGAUGGUGAUGCAUCAUUAAGAAUCCUUGACCUGAAGCUGACAGAUAUGGGAACUUACCAAUGCAAGGUGAAAAGGUUACCUGAGUUUGGUAUGAAAAAUUUUAACCUGUUCGUAAUGGAGAGGCCAAGUACACCAGUAUGCUACAUAGAUGGUGAAGCAGAGGAAGGAAACAACCUCAGGAUGAAAUGUAGAUCCUCACAAGGUACUCCCCCUCUGGAUUACAACUGGUCUAAGGCAAACGGAAACAAGAUGUUGCCUCAAAGUGCCUUUGUUGACACUAAAGCUGGUGACUUGUAUUUACGCAAGAUCACAGAGAGUGACACUGGAACUUACAGGUGUGUGGUCGUAAGCCUUGUUGGUAUGGAAGUGUGUGAGGUUACACUCAGCUCCCCCUUAAAUCGUACAUCACCACAGACCAUUAACAAUGAAGUGUGUGAGGUUACACUCAGCUCCCCCUUAAAUCGUACAUCACCACAGACCAUUAACAAUGGAUCUGGAACAACAGCGGCAAUUGUUAUCAGUAUAAUUGUGAUGAUCAUCCUUAUCAUCACUGUCAUUCGAGUCAUUAUCUGCUACCGCAGAAAAAAGAAUGGAAAAGUGUUUGGCAAUGAAAUAUUGAUGGAUGAACUCCCUCCUCAAAAAUGCCUAUCAAUUAAAAGUCAUAACCUGGGGCCUGGAUCUUUGGAAAGCACCCAUAGUGUAAAGGUGAGAAAAUGUUAAUAUAUAGCACCAAUUCAUAACUGAAUGCUUGCUGUUGUACAUAAUAUGGUCUUUUUAACUUAAACUUACAAUUGUCUAAUUAAGUUGCAUAUGUUUCAAAAGGAUCUUAUGGCAGUGUAUGAAAACAUGGAUGCAGGGUUCAUGUGCAAGAACAAAGAGAAUAAGUUCAUGUUCGCUGAGGAGAAGGAUCUUCCAAAAAAGGUGGAUGACUCAGUCACAGUGGAUGACCAAGAUAUGCAACUUCCAGAACCCUGAGGACAAGCAAAUUGUUUAUACUGCUUUUGAGGAAGAAAUAUGUUUGUCCUUCAAAGCAAACAUAAUGUUAAUACUGUUCUCUUUCUGGUUUAGUGGUCUGUUACAACCAAUCUUUAAAGAUUAAAGCCUGAGUAACAAAAGAGGAUCAGCAUAGCCAUGGUCAAAAGUUUUGGGAGUGGCACAAAGUCUAAUUCUACUUUUCAUUCACUCUGCCAUUUCAGUUGUUAUUUAAAUAAGUUUUACAUACUUAGGUGAUCUAGUGAAGAACAAUCACAUUUGCUGAGAAAUAAAAAUGAAGUUUUACUUUUGGCCACUGCUGUAAUUGUCCUUGAGGACAAACAAACUUCAUUCUGUUUUUCAUGGAAAAAAUCAAAGUACUUGCCGAUAGCUGUGUACUAAAUGUUCGAAUAAAACAAAGAAACUUCAGAUAUGCGGAAUUCUUUUAUUGUGUUUUAUUGAAGAGAAAAUACAAAAAUCAUGUUUAAACAUGAUUUUAACAUAAGUUCUUUUUGGAAAUAAUUCCAGUGAAUGUAAGAAAUACAUAACUAGUUCUUUAGGAAAUACAUAAGUAUUGGGUGAAAAACAUUUGAAUUUAGGAUAUGGAUAGAAUGACCCAACAUUCCAAGUGCAGUAAAGACAUGUUGGGUGUUAUGAUCACAACACACCAAAAUCAUGUUGGAUAUGACCUAACAACAGGGUCUUGUAUUGACAAAUUGGGUUCAAUGAUGAGAUGUUGAGUUAAACGCAAAAUCUCAAUAUGAGACCCAACAGCUCUUUGCAAACCUCUUCUCAUUGUCUAUAUUGUCUGUAUUGUGAUGGUGGGUCACAGGGCUUGACUAUAUGUAGAUGUUGGGUCACACCUAAAUGUCAGUAUUGAACCUGAUAUCUCCA